rnacentral:tRNA from 1 species
GCCAGUGUUGCUCAGUGGUUGAGCAUUGGCCUGCAAACCAAAGGUUCUCAGGUUCAAUUCCCAGUCAAGGGCA